GAAACGACGAAGAUUGAGUAGAGUGAAUUUAACUAUUGAUAAUGAGAUAAUGGCGCGACGAAAAAGAAAGCCCUCGUCGGCCGGGUCAUCAUCAUUAAAAACAAUAAGAUUCAAUAUGAAUGGACCGGCCCAAUUGGGGUACUUUGAAAAAACCAAAAUGCGGAUGAUGCGUGCGUUUUGGUUGUCACUUACGACUUUAAAGAUUCCGAAAAGAGGCGACACGGCAAUGAAAAGGACCUUGAAAACUUAAAAAAAUCGUUCGAGGAGAAAAGGAAAUGUCGAUACCAAGAACUGGCGUCGCCCGAAGCUGAGGUUUUCCUUGAAAUAUUAAAAAACGAGAAAAAACUCCUCCAGCUUUUCAAAAUUUCAGCUGUUCCCUCUGCAUUUCUUCUCAUCAUCUUGGCGCACGGAAAAGAAAACAAUAUUAUAGAGACAGACCACAAGGACCAGAACGGAGAAUACAAAUACUUUCUGACCACUGACGUGCUGGAGGCAAUAAAAAAAUCGCCAAACCUGCGAGAACAACUCAAUGUCAUUUUCUUUGGACCUUGCCGGGGAAAACUCAAGGACGUGGCUCAUCAAGAAAUGGAAAAUCCUAAAAUUUACGAAAACCAAACCUCAAACAGGUUGACAAACAUGCCCUGCGCUGAGAAUUUCGUCAUCGUUUAUUCAACAGUCGAAACGACUUUGUCAAACAGAGACACAAGCGAAGGCACGUGGUUGGUGCAGGGAAUUUGCACUUUGUUGGACAAUCUUCAAAAAGACGAGCCGUUGGAGGUUUAUCUCACCAAAUUGCAACAUUGGAUCCAUGAAAGGUUAGACG